rnacentral:tRNA from 1 species
GAAUAUGAAGCGAUUUAUUGCAAUUAGUUUCGACCUAAUUUUAGGUAAUUACUACCCUUAUUCU